UACGUAGGGUGCGAGCGUUAAUCGGAAUUACUGGGCGUAAAGCGUGCGCAGGCGGUUUUGAAAGUCAGAUGUGAAAUCCCCGGGCUCAACCUGGGAACUGCGUUUGAAACUCCAAAGCUAGAGUAUGGGAGAGGGAGGUAGAAUUCCACGUGUAGCAGUGAAAUGCGUAGAGAUGUGGAGGAAUACCAAUGGCGAAGGCAGCCUCCUGGCCUAAUACUGACGCUCAUGCACGAAAGCGUGGGGAGCAAACAGG
rnacentral:rRNA from 1 species